rnacentral:tRNA from 1 species
AAGGGAGACCUAAUUCGGGUAGAAGACGAAAAAAUAGUAGUCGAAACCAAGAAUCAAUCCCAAAAGGUCGGAACGAGGUAUGUGGCUUUCAAACUAGGUUCUGGGUUCAUAAAAGACCUGAAUCAGGAACAAGGGCUAUUAGCUCAGGUGGUUAGAGCGCACCCCUGAUAAGGGUGAGGUCCCUGGUUCGAGUCCAGGAUGGCCCACCUGCACAGGUGGCAAAAACAAAGAAAAGAAGCGAGGAAUCAGCACCUUAUCUUACUUAUAUAGUAAGAGAGAAUGCUGGCUCUGAGUACAGAGUCCAGAGGAACCUUGAAAACUGCAUAGAGCUAGGUGAAAAAGCCAAAAAAGAAGACCGCAA